rnacentral:rRNA from 1 species
GAUGAACGCUGGCGGCGUGCCUAAUACAUGCAAGUCGAGCGAACAGACGAGGAGCUUGCUUCUCUGACGUUAGCGGCGGACGGGUGAGUAACACGUGGAUAACCUACCUAUAAGACUGGGAUAACUUCGGGAAACCGGAGCUAAUACCGGAUAAUAUAUUGAACCGCAUGGUUCAAUAGUGAAAGACGGUCUUGCUGUCACUUAUAGAUGGAUCCGCGCUGCAUUAGCUAGUUGGUAAGGUAACGGCUUACCAAGGCAACGAUGCCUAGCCGACCUGAGAGGGUGAUCGGCCACACUGGAACUGAGACACGGUCCAGACUCCUACGGGAGGCAGCAGUAGGGAAUCUUCCGCAAUGGGCGAAAGCCUGACGGAGCAACGCCGCGUGAGUGAUGAAGGUCUUCGGAUCGUAAAACUCUGUUAUUAGGGAAGAACAUAUGUGUAAGUAACUGUGCACAUCUUGACGGUACCUAAUCAGAAAGCCCCGGCUAACUACGUG